AGGUGAGUAUGAAGCAUGGGAAGAAAAUAUGGUAAAAUAUUUGCAAAAGAUGAAGGAGCUAAGCUCAGUAUUCGAGCGCUUUGAUAUUCAACAGGUUUCGAGGGUGGAGAAUUCUCAUGCCAACCUACUCUCGAGGCUCACCACUUCUACCCCAAUUGACCUACGAAAGGAAUCUUUCUUUAAGAUAUUUAGAAAGUCUAGCAUUGAAGAAUCCAUUUCUAUCUUGCAAGUAC
rnacentral:lncRNA from 1 species